AGUCUGGCCUGCCCUCUGAUAUUUGAAUGGCCGCAGUAUUUUGACUGUGCAAAGGUAGCAUAAUCAUUAGUUUUUUAAUUGAAAGCUGGAAUGAAAGGUUUGAUGAGAAAAUAACUGUCUCUGUAUAGAUGAUUUAGAAUUUCAAUUUUAAGUGAAAAAGCUUAAAUUUUUUAUAAAGACGAGAAGACCCUAUAGAGUUUUAUAUUUGUAUGAAUUUGGAGAUUUAGGAAUUUAUUUUUUUAAUUUUAUUUAAAUAUUUUGUUGGGGCGAUGGAAAAAUUUAAUGAACUUUUUUUUGUUCGAAACAUUGAUUUAUGAAUAUAUGAUCCUUAUUUUUGGAUUAUAAGACUAAAUUACCUUAGGGAUAACAGCGUAAUUUUUUUUGGAGAGUUCUUAUCGAUAAAAAAGUUUGCGACCUCGAUGUUGGAUUAAAAUUAAAUUUUGGUGCAGAAGCUAGGAUUUUAGGUCUGUUCGACCUUUAAAAUUUU
rnacentral:rRNA from 1 species